GCGAAGGUGGCGGAAUUGGUAGACGCGCUAGCUUCAGGUGUUAUUGUCCUUACGGACGUGGGGGUUCAAGUCCCCCCCCUCGCACCA
rnacentral:tRNA from 1 species